rnacentral:rRNA from 1 species
UACGUAGGGUGCGAGCGUUGUCCGGAAUUAUUGGGCGUAAAGAGCUUGUAGGCGGUUUGUCGCGUCUGCUGUGAAAAUCCGGGGCUCAACCCCGGACUUGCAGUGGGUACGGGCAGACUAGAGUGUGGUAGGGGAGACUGGAAUUCCUGGUGUAGCGGUGAGAUGCGCAGAUAUCAGGAGGAACACCGAUGGCGAAGGCGGGUCUCUGGGCCGAUACUGACGCUGAGGAGCGAAAGCGUGGGGAGCGAACAGG